GAUGAACGCUAGCGGGAGGCUUAACACAUGCAAGUCGAGGGGCAGCAUAGGGUAGCAAUACUCUGAUGGCGACCGGCAAACGGGUGAGUAACGCGUAUGCAACCUACCCUGUACAGGGGGAUAACCCGGAGAAAUUCGGACUAAUAUCCCGUAAUAAUAUCCGGAGGCAUCUUUGGAUAUUUAAAGUUCCGACGGUACGGGAUGGGCAUGCGUAACAUUAACUGGUUGGUAAGGUAACGGCUUACCAAGGCUAUGAUGUUUAGGGGUCCUGAGAGGGUGGUCCCCCACACUGGUACUGAGACACGGACCAGACUCCUACGGGAGGCAGCAGUGAGGAAUAUUGGUCAAUGGGCGCAAGCCUGAACCAGCCAUCCCGCGUGCAGGAAGACGGCCCUAUGGGUUGUAAACUGCUUUUCCAGGGAGAGAAACUUACGCACGUGUUGCGUGACUGACGGUACCCUGGGAAUAAGCAUCGGCUAACUCCGUGCCAGCAGCCGCGGUAAAACGUCACGUCG
rnacentral:rRNA from 1 species